AGCGCGCGUGCGCGGCUGGGCGAUGUAGCGGCUGAAGCUCACGCUGCCCCAAGGGCAGAGGAGGCCGCGGGGCUCCCAGCGUUAAGUAGGGCUGGCUCAAGCAUCUUCGCGCCUCCUUCCCCUCAGUAGGGCAGCUCCUGGCUACACCUGUGGAGAUCCACACUGCUGCCCUCGUGUCUUCAGAAAUAGAUCCUACUCGAGAAAAGGAGAGCUGAUUUUCUCCCGGUCGCUCAUUGGAAAAGGACAUUUUCCUUUGCAGACAUGGCAAAGAAAUGUGUUUGCUAAGGGGGGAGAAUACCAUAAAGCUGCUUAAGUUAAAUAAGCUCGCACAAGAUCACAGAGACGGGCAAUUGCAUUUUAAAUGGGGCGAAAAGGAAGACCAUUUUCAGGCCUGUGAUCCCAGUGGGCAGUAAUGUCUAGCAGCACCUAUAACUCUUCUAACUACUGUACUGGGUGUAGGAAAGCAAGACCAGCCCCAGACACUCACUAUGGAAACCUCAUCUGUACCUUCUCCUAUACAUGCCAUUUUGCAAGCCAAACAUGGAGGUCCAUGAGCUGAGAAGACAAAGUUCAACCUCUUCAAGGCUUGGGAAAGGCAAGCUGUGAACAUGCUGCCUUCCUAUUUCACUUGAACUUAUUCAUUGUGACUUACAUGUGCAGCAACCCUCACAAACGUUGUCCUUUGGUUGAAAAAAUACCUUCAAGUGUUUCUACAGCUCAGACUCAGGAAGUCUGUGGGAAACAAUUAUAUUUCAUUCGCUUUCAGUGUUGAUUAAAAAUAACAGAUAAGCAUCUCAAAUUGAA